AGCAGCCGCGGUAAUUCCAGCUCCAAUAGCGUAUAUUAAAGUUGUUGCAGUUAAAAAGCUCGUAGUUGAAUUUCGGGGUCAGUAGGUCGGUCGUGCCACAUGUAUGCACUGGUCUCACUGACUCCUCCUUCCUGAUGAACCGUAAUGCCAUUAAUUUGGUGUUGCGGGGAGACUGGACUGUUACUUUGAAAAAAUUAGAGUGUUUAAAGCAGGCUAACGCUUGAAUACAUUAGCAUGGAAUAACGGAAUAGGACGUUCGAUCCUAUUUUGUUGGUUUCUAAGAUUGACGUAAUGAUUAAUAGGGAUAGUUGGGGGCAUUAGUAUUCAAUUGUCAGAGGUGAAAUUCUUGGAUUUAUUGAAGACUAACUACUGCGAAAGCAUUUGCCAAGGAUGUUUUCAUUAAUCAAGAACGAAAGUUGGGGGCUCGAAGACGAUCAGAUACCGUCCUAGUCUCAACCAUAAACGAUGCCGACCAGGGAUCGGCGGAUGUUGCUUUUAGGACUCCGCCGGCACCUUAUAC
rnacentral:rRNA from 1 species